rnacentral:sRNA from 1 species
GCUGGUGUGGUGGUUGGUGCACACCUGUAAUCCCAGCUACUCAGGAGGCUAAAGCAGGAGGUUGGCAAGUGUGAGGCUAGCCUCAGCGACUUAGUGAGACCCUGUCUUAA